rnacentral:rRNA from 1 species
UGCCAGCAGCCGCGGUAAUACGGGGGGAGCAAGCGUUGUUCGGAAUCACUGGGCGUAAAGGGCGUGUAGGCUGUUUCGCAAGUCAGAAGUGAAAACCACCGGCUUAACCGGGUGGCCUGCUUUUGAAACUGCAAGACUUGAGUACGGAAGAGGAGAGCGGAAUUCCUGGUGUAGCGGUGAAAUGCGUAGAUAUCAGGAAGAACACCGGUGGCGAAGGCGGCUCUCUGGGUCGAUAUUGACGCUGAGGUGCGAAAGUGUGGGGAGCAAACAGGAUUAGAUA